rnacentral:rRNA from 1 species
GAUGAACGCUGGCGGCGUGCCUAAUACAUGCAAGUCGAGCGAACGGACGAGAAGCUUGCUUUUCUGAUGCUAGCGGCGGACGGGUGAGUAACACGUGGAUAGCCUACCUAUAAGACUGGGAUAACUUCGGGAAACCGGAGCUAAUACCGGAUAAUAUUUUGAACCGCAUGGUUCAAAAGUGAAAGACGGUCUUGCUGUCACUUAUAGAUGGAUCCGCGCUGCAUUAGCUAGUUGGUAAGGUAACGGCUUACCAAGGCAACGAUGCAUAGCCGACCUGAGAGGGUGAUCGGCCACACUGGAACUGAGACACGGUCCAGACUCCUACGGGAGGCAGCAGUAGGGAAUCUUCCGCAAUGGGCGAAAGCCUGACGGAGCAACGCCGCGUGAGUGAUGAAGGUCUUCGGAUCGUAAAACUCUGUUAUUAGGGAAGAACAUAUGUGUAAGUAACUGUGCACAUCUUGACGGUACCUAAUCAGAAAGCCACGGCUAACUACGUG